rnacentral:rRNA from 1 species
CCUACGGGCGGCUGCAGUGGGGAAUAUUGCACAAUGGGCGCAAGCCUGAUGCAGCCAUGCCGCGUGUGUGAAGAAGGCCUUCGGGUUGUAAAGCACUUUCAGCGGGGAGGAAGGCGGUGAGGUUAAUAACCUCAUCGAUUGACGUUACCCGCAGAAGAAGCACCGGCUAACUCCGUGCCAGCAGCCGCGGUAAUACGGAGGGUGCAAGCGUUAAUCGGAAUUACUGGGCGUAAAGCGCACGCAGGCGGUCUGUCAAGUCGGAUGUGAAAUCCCCGGGCUCAACCUGGGAACUGCAUUCGAAACUGGCAGGCUAGAGUCUUGUAGAGGGGGAUAGAAUUCCAGGUGUAGCGGUGAAAUGCGUAGAGAUCUGGAGGAAUACCGGUGGCGAAGGCGGCCCCCUGGACAAAGACUGACGCUCAGGUGCGAAAGCGUGGGGAGCAAACAGGAUUAGAUACCCGAGUAGUC